UAGUGAUAAUCGCUUAUCAAAGAUACGCUUCACCUUUGACAAGACAUCAUGUGAUGUAAUUUUUACAAGAAUUUUAUCAUUAAUUAUGGUUUUGUUGAUUUGUGAAAUCCUCAGUAUAAAACUAAUCAGUCAUUGCGCAGCAUUAAUAACAGCGUCUUUAUAAGAUUCUGCUUUUUGAGGAUGUUUCACAAGUCGUACGCAUUAUUGAAAUCAAAUUUUUAAACUGAGUUGCAUUCUGUGGUGAAAAUGAAAUUUUAUAUCACGUUAUUAAUGAUUGCUAUGAUGGUGAUGACUACCAGGUCGUCACCGCUACUACAGAAAACUCAACUCAGAUCGACUCCGAAAACACCGAUGACAAAUGAAACAAUGUCUUCAGUUAAUAUCAUAACAGUACCGGAUUUUCCGUGUCCACCUGGCCAACAACGUGAUACGAACGGAGCAUGUCGAUUGUUUUUGCAAAAGCUUAAGAAAUAGUUUCAAGAAGAAUUAUAGAUACAACGAUACGAGCGGUGUAAUCCUACAAAUGUCACAAUGAAAUAUCAUAACAACGCAUGUCGAGAGAUUGGCCAAGCUAUUUGUCCGCUUUGCAUCAGAGAAACAAACUUCACCAUCGAUGCGAUCAAUGUAUAUUAUUUAUUAGUUGUUUUAGUGUUUACACAGUAAUACUUGCAAUUAUAAUAUGAGUCCCGAUUUAUCAUAAUAAAAUACAUUUUUAUCUA